ncrna:unclassified sequences AdoCbl variant RNA
UUGCCGAAAUGCAUGGUGGGAAAUCAGUGUGAAAUUCACUGGCUGUUCCUGCAACGGUUAAAGUCCGAGCGCCACCCGGUAA